rnacentral:rRNA from 1 species
GACGAACGCUGGCGGCGUGCCUAACACAUGCAAGUCGAACGGGGUGAACCGCUUCGGUGGUUUACUUAGUGGCGAACGGGUGAGUAACGCGUGAGGAACCUGCCUUUCAGUGGGGGACAACAGUUGGAAACGACUGCUAAUACCGCAUAAAGUAUUUAAGGGGCAUCCCUUGAAUACCAAAGAUUUAUUGCUGAAAGAUGGCCUCGCGUCUGAUUAGCUAGUUGGUGGGGUAACGGCCCACCAAGGCGACGAUCAGUAGCCGGUCUGAGAGGAUGAACGGCCACAUUGGGACUGAGAUACGGCCCAGACUCCUACGGGAGGCAGCAGUGGGGAAUAUUGGGCAAUGGGGGAAACCCUGACCCAGCAACGCCGCGUGAAGGAAGAAGGCCUUCGGGUUGUAAACUUCUUUACCUAGGGACGAAGAACGUGACGGUACCUGGAGAAAAAGACAACGGCUAACUACGUG